GCGGGUGGCUGGCCCUUUUGCCAUUUUUAUUGCUGGAAGAGGGUAUUCUGUGCAAGAGAAAAAAGAAGAAAAGCUUUUGUAAUUUUUGCAGAGCUAUUUCUGCUGCAGCUUCCUGUCCUUGACCCAGCGAUACAGUGUGAAGUUCUCCUGAGUCAAUGAAUUCUGGUAAAAUGCAGUAAAGGAUUUAAGGUUAUCGUCUGUCUCUCUCUAACUUCUGACAUCUCUUUAUAACAAGAAAGAGUCACAGCCAACUGUAACAGGAGGGCAACACAAUGAAUCCUGCUUUUCAGCCAGAAGAAUAUCCUGAAGCAAAUUACUGUCAGAAGCCAAAAUAUGUAUCCAUAAUUCCUCCUAAAGCACUGUCAACUUAAUUUUAAAGUUAUUUUUCUGCUUUACGAGUUCAGACUGAAGUGGUGUUUUAUGAGAACAGGGAGCUGCAUGUCACAGUACCUUUUUCCCAUGGGUUAAGGGAGACUGUUCUAACAUUCCCAGCUUCUGCUGCCCAGGGCAAUACAACUAGAGAAAUAAGAGAGUGUCUUUUCAGCAAUAAAAUGAAGCAAAGAAACAGCCAGGACUGACAGUACAGCAGUGUCAGUAUUACACUGUUUGCUAAUGGUAAACAGUGACCUAUUGUUUGCCACAGAGUAUAUUAAAAUGGAUUUUUCCUAUAAGUCACUACAGAGCUGUCAUAUGGUUAUUACUGCCUUUGACCAAGUGUGGUA